UACGUAGGGUGCAAGCGUUGUCCGGAAUUAUUGGGCGUAAAGAGCUCGUAGGCGGUCUGUCGCGUCGGCUGUGAAAACCCGGAGCUCAACUCCGGGCCUGCAGUCGAUACGGGCAGACUGGAGUUCGGCAGGGGAGACUGGAAUUCCUGGUGUAGCGGUGAAAUGCGCAGAUAUCAGGGAGGAACAGCCGGUGGCGAAGGCGGGUCUCUGGGCAGUUGAACUGACGCUGGAGGAGCGAAAGCAUGGGGAGC
rnacentral:rRNA from 1 species